rnacentral:rRNA from 1 species
CGCCCUCCGCGGGGGGACGGGCCCGAAAGGCAGCGGCGGCGCCGCGUCCGGUCCUCGAGCGUAUGGGGCUCUGUCACCCGCUCUGCAGGCCCGGCCGGCGCCCGCNGAGUCAACCACUUCUUUCCAGGUUGACCUCGGAUCAGGUAGGGAU